rnacentral:misc_RNA from 1 species
GUCACCUUAAGGUAAUUUGAAGCUCUGUUUGUGUGUUGGCAUAUGUGUGGUGUGGACAUGGACAUGAGUAGGACGGGUAGUCGCAGUUGGAACUUGAUUCGUUGGAACCCAGUCCUUAUAUAUGGAUAAGUCAAGGAGAGCACAGCUUUGAGUUGAUCUCACUGGGCCUCACACUUAGAUUGUUAAGCGAAAAUCUAGCUUGAGUUGACCUCGCUAGCUAGCAUUGGAUUAAGAGAGCUACAUAGGGGAUCAGCUUCCAUACAUUUAUUGAUGUGACACAUAGGUGUAUGUAUGCUCCAAAUUAUCUUUUGUGCGAAUAUUGGCUGAAUUAUUUGAAUUAUGUGAACGUGUUACAUUUCAUAUAUAAGAAUGCAUUAGAAAUAGAUAGUUAUAAAAAUUAUAUUU